AUUACUUUGCAAAGAAAACUUAAAAAAUUAAUUCCAAGCUACAAAUCACCAAAAACAUCACCUUUUUCAAAAAUCUCAAAUUUUGAACCCCUGUAAAAUAGGCAUUUUUUUUAAUUUUGACCUAAUAUUUUAGGGAUCAACUGAAAACCCUAAGGGUAACAUCUCCGUCGAAUUUAAUCAAGAUCUGAAAACCACUUGCCAAAGAGGUUGACAUUUUAUAUGGAUCCUACCUUUCAAAAUUUAGUCCAUUUAUUUUUUUAAAUCAAAAUUAGGUUUACAGAAAAAAGAUGUAAAAAAACCUCGAGAGAGAAGAAAAAAUCAAGAUAAUUUGCGGGACCAGAUGUUUCCUAUAAGCGUAAAAAUAUUUAAUUAAUUAGACACAUUAAUUUUACCUUUUCCAGUUCAAGACUUUGGAUGAGACUAUCAGGAAAUAGAGCCAGCAAAAUUGAAAUCAACAUAUUUUUUGGAAUGAUGAGGAAUUCUCACACUUCAAUUCAAGAUAUAUGGACUCUGCGGCCAAAUUUCAAAUCGACCUUGAAUUAUGUAGCAACGCCACGCAAAAACUUGAAACCGCCGCCCCCUCCCGCCGAAAUGCUUGCUUUCUUACGGAGCACCGUUGCGAUAUCACCGGAAAGAUGUCACCCUUUUGCCCAGCACGAAAAUAUCGUUUAAGCUAAAAAAAAUAACAAACCUACUGUCCAUUCUUUCGAAUUAAGCUUUAGAAAAGCUAAUGAUGAGAAACUGAAACGUGCUGUCCUAAUGACUAUUACAAUUACGUGAGAAAAUUGAGUCAAUGAGCUCCCUGAGCAAGAUAAAUUAACGAAAGAGCACCAUUUGCAAGAAAUCAGCUGAUUUUUUCCUCAAGAUUUAACCCAAAGCGAUAAAAUUCAAACUAGUACAAUCAAAGUCUAAUAUUCACAAUUUUCAGCUGUUGAAUUUCCCACGGUUAGCAGCAACCCGCUGUUUAAGUCAAGUCAUUAAUACGGAUAAAGGAUUUGGCAUAAACAAGGCGAUGUUAGUGGCACUGAUGUAUCAAUAACAAAAGGGAGAAUCGGUUUUCCCUGCAAAGAAUCGGUAAUUUCCAAAUGACGGCCGUCCAGUCUUGAAAACACCGAAUGUCCCCUCAAUUAAAAGCAAAUUUGUGCUUGCUUUCAAUUAGCCGUUGAUUUUAAUUCAUUUUGGCUAAUUUUGGCUUGGCAGCAAAGUAGAGUUAAAAUGUUGAUGAAACAUGCUGGAUGGAAGAAAAAUCAGCUGAUUUCUUUAAAAUGGUGGCUAACCUUGUUUUCUUUUGCAUUUAAAGUUUAAAUAACGAAUAUAAUGUGGCAUUUUUGCUGAAUUAGAGGCUCUCUGGCAAUGAAUUCGUAGACCAAAGUUCUUCCACAUCCCCUAUUCAUUUUAAAAAAGAAAUACUUAUCCGUUCUACAAUAUCAACAUUUGAAUAGAAUAUCAGCGUUAACCUUUUAUCAAUAUUCUUUCAGCCACACUCCGUGGAAGUUGAAAAUUUAUGGCGUUCAAUUUAUGGCAAUAACCACUCUGACCUUCCAUAAUCCGCGAAUUUCCGUAUUUCAUUUCAUAUAUUAAGAUAAAUCUGCUUCUGUGGUCUAACAGUUUUCCUCUGCUUCUCAAUUAUUAGUUCCCUACAAGGUUUCGGUUCCAAACGAAAAUUUUACUUAUGCUUCUUUACCGACUCCCGCUCUAAUUUUCAUCCCAGACAGAAAUAUGGCGUAUUUAAUGAAGGACUCUUUUGCUCUUCUUUCAUGUCCGAAUAGGGACGGUUAACCGAAUAAAAACCGGUACUUUCUAAUGAAAUUUUCGCUACGGGAUUUGUAAUCACAGAUUAACAUGGAGUCGUUGCAAAACCUGAAAAGAGAUAAAAAAAAAGGAGGACCGAGAUCCUGCGCCGCUACAGAUGUAAUGAUCUGAGAUUAACAUUAAUUUUGUGUACGACUGGCGCAAUUCUAUGUGAAAAAAACCGGCACCGGCUACCGGCCGCACACAAUGCAUGGGUUAAAUCUUUAUCAAGUGGUCUGAGCGAAUUGAAACCAAAACAAUUUCUUAAAAAAUUAACGCGUCACUUAAAUUAAGUUUUCUUACCUGAAGUCCAUGAUUCAGGGCCACGCCUGUCAUAUUAUAUUGGGGCUUCCGUACAUUAUUUACGGAUUAGCAUGCGGAUCAAUUAACUCUUGAGGAUAUUUCCUUUGUCUUUGCUUCGAUGGACUGAUAUUUCACAUUCUAAAUCAUAUUUAGGACCGCUAUUAUAUGGGAGUUUCAAAAAGGUCCUAUUUGUCUCUUACUUUUGCAUAAUUAAGAAACAAAAUUGAAAUUUUAUUGAUUUGUUUACAAAAUGUUUCUACUCCAAGGAGAGCAUAUCUACUCUUCAACGCGGCAGCACUGUGAUUUUAUAAAAUAGUGUCCAUCUAUUGAAAGGCUUGUCCCUUUAAGGGUUAUAUCGGAAUGUCGCUGCUCUUGAGAACUUCAAAAGGUGUGGAAUGCGCUGCAUUGAACCUGCUCCAAUAAAGCAAACCAGCAAUUCUUCCGUGGGAGGAAAUUAAAAGUUUAGAAGAUAUGACCACCAACAGAGCGCAUUUCCCCGCACAUUAAAUAUAUUCCUAAAACAUCCAUCGCAGCAAAACAGAAUAGGAUAUCAUACCAGAGUCAAUGAUCUGAAUAGGCAGGCCUCAUUGCCUACAAUUUUGUAGCUAUACUAGUGAACGAUUUAAAUGGCUAAAGCCUGUGUUUGCGUGGCCUGUUGCCAUUUCUUUUUGUGCUUUCAACGGGAAUAUUUAUUGGCCCUGAAAAGGGCCGAUUUUAGCGACAAGUAAUGAAUCUAGUCGCCUUGUUGGUCGAAUUCUUCAUCAGUAAUACUGAAGAAACUUUCAAUUUUCCCCAUCCACUUGGCAACCUCUUCAGUUGGCUUUUGCGGAUGAGAGAUGACCCCCAAACGCUGGUAUCUCCGGCGACGAAGCCUGUACCGAUUGCAGGCGUUGGAGUUCCCUUCUAUUUCUUUAUUUUCUCCCAUGCUGCUCCUGCGAUGUAUACUGCCUGACGGUUUGAGGGAGACUGAAAGUUCUCCCGAGAAUCCGUGUUAUUUUUAUUCUCUGCUUACCGACCGGGGAGUGCGCAUCUCCCUUUAUAAGGCUCCUCCCCCAAUAGCAUGAUGCUAACAAAUAUUCGUUCAAAUUGUGCCUAAAUUAAGUGCCUUAACAAGGUCCAGAUAUUUUUUUUUUCAAUUGCAUUCCUUGCUGCCACUAGCAUAGGUGAAUAAGAACAAAAAUCAAUUUUUUAAAUGAAUUAUGUACGACCUAGGGCUAACAAUUCAUUACCAGAAAGCCUCUAAUUCAGCAAAUAUGCCUCAUCUAAAUUCGUUCUUGAAAAUGGGGGCUAACUUUAUUAUAUUUGCAUAUCAAACAUGAAGCUAUGUUUAAAAUCGAGCAUUUUAAAAAUUCAGGAGAAAAAAUGUCUUCUGGCCUUUCUGCUUCAGGUUUUAAUUUAUGUCGGCAGCGUGAAAACCAGUGGAAAUGGUCAGCCAUCGCCUAAAAUCUCGCGGCUGAGUCCUCUCAUUUACUCAAAAUAAAUUUCAAAUCACUACAUCCAUUUUUUCGUUUCAGAUUCUCACACUGUAAUUCAAGACUUAUGGAAUCUGCGGCCAAAUUUCAAAUCGACCUUGAACUAUGUGGCAACGCCACGCAAAAACUUGAAACCGCCGCCCCCUCCCGCCAAAAUGCUUGGCCUCUUACGGAGCACCGUUGCGAUAUCACCAGAAAGAUGUCUCGGAAAAACCCCCCCUUCGCCCAGCACGAAAAUAUCGUUAAAGCUAAAAAUAACAAAUCUACUGUCCGUUCUGUUUAAUUAUGCCGUAGAAAAGCCAAUGUUGAGAAACUGAAACGUGCUGUCCUAAUGACUAUUACAAUUACGUGCGAAAAUUGAGUCACUAAGCUCCCUGAGCAAGAUAAAUUAACGAAAGAGCACCAUUUGCAAGAAAUCAGCUGAUUUUUUCCUCAAGAUUUAACCCAAAGCGAUAAAAUUCAAACUAGUCCAAUCAAAGUCUAAUAUUCACAAUUUUCAGCUGUUGAAUUUCCCACGAUUAACAGCAACACGCUGUUAAAGUCAAGUCAUUCAUUUUCGGUUAAAGGAUUUGGCAUAAACAAGGCGAUGCUAGUGGCACUGAUGUAUCAAUAACAAAAGGGAGAAUCGGUUUUCCCUGCAUUGAAUCGGUAAUUUCCAAAUGACGGCCGUCCAGUCUUGAAAACACCAAAUGUCCCCUCUAUUAAAAGCAAAUUUGUGCUUGCUUUCAAUUAGCCGUUGAUUUUAAUUCAUUUUGGCUAAUUUUGGCUUGGCAGCAAAUUAGAGUUAAAAUGUUGAUUAAACCUGCUGGAUGGAAGAAAAAUCAGCUGAUUUCUUGAAAAUGGUGGCUAACCUUGAUUUCUUUUGCAUUUAAAGAUUAAAUAACGAAUACAAAUGUGGCAUUUUUGCUGAAUUAGAGGCUCUCUGACAAUGAAUUCGUAGACCAAAGUUUUUCCACAUCCCCUAUUCAUUUUAAAAAAGAAAUACUUCUCCGUUUUACAAUAUCAACACUUGAAUACAAUAUCAGCGUUUACCUUUUAUCAAUAUUCUUUCUGCCACACUCCGUGAAAGUUGAUAAUUUAUGGCGUUCAAUUUAUGGCAAAAACCACUCUGACCUUCCAUAAUCCGCGAAUUUCCGUAUUUCAUUUCAUAUAUUAAGAUAAAUCCGUUUCUGUGGUGUAACAGUUUUCCUAUGCUUCUCAAUUAUUAGCUCCCUAUAAGGUUUCGGUUCGAACUUCCAACCUGGAAUUUCUCUAUCUAUUGACAAGCAAUUUAAGCAAAUAUAUUUUAAGGUGUUAUCCGUGUCACCUACAUAUACUUCAACGCCAAAAGUCCCGUCCAAUUAACCUCCUAAAUUUGAAGGUCAAUUUCACCCGAAACUGUUCAACGAGCUUCCUGUCCAGAAAAAUACCCGAUAUUGGCCCGAUUCUCAUAUAACCUCUUAUACUUCUGCUUGGGAUCCAGAAUUUUCUCGAGAAGUCUUGUAAUCCGGAUCUUCUGAAAGUUUCCCGGGCUCUAGUUCGUGCAGUCUCUCCUCACUCCAAUAGAUGGACUCAGGUGUUGCCAGUUUAAAUUGAAGUGAUAUUUUCCCCCCAAGAAUUCUAAGCAUUUUAUAAACAAUUAAUGAAAAUUUCAAUGUAUGUUUUAAUAAGACAAAUAGGACCUUGUUUCGGUUCCAAACGAAACUUUUGCUUAUGCUUAUUUACCGACUCCCGCUCUAAUUUUCAUCCCAGAAUGAAAUAUGGCAUAUUUAAUGAAGGACUCGUUUGCUCUUCUUUCAUGCUCGAAUAGGGACGGUUAACCGAAUAAAAACUGAUACUUUCUAAUGAAAUUUUCGCUACGGGAUUUGUAAUCACAGAUUAACAUGGAGUCGUUGCAAAACCUGAAAAGAGAUAAAAAAGGAGGACCGAGAUUCUGCACCGCUACAAAUGUAAUGAUCUAGAUUAAAAACAAUUUUGUGUACGACUGGCUCGAUUCUUAGUUAAUUAAAACGAGAUUUAAAGUCUAAUUCGAGAAA